GCAUAUCAAUAAGCGGAGGAAAAGAAAAUAACAAUGAUUCCCCCAGUAACUGCGAGUGAAGAGGGACAAGCUCAAAUUUUAAAUCUGUCGGGUUCUCCUGACCGAGUUGUAAUUUGAAGAAGCGUUUUCCGCGCCGUUUGAUCAGCCCAAGUCUUAUUGAAUGAGGCAUCAUGGAGGGUGAUAAUCCCGUUCGGUUGAUCAAUUGUGCUUUAUGAUACGUCAUCAAAGAGUCAAGUUGUUUGGGAUUGCAGCUUAAAAUGGGAGGUAAAUUUCUCCUAAGGCUAAAUAACGGCGAGAGACCGAUAGCGAACAAGUACCGUGAGGGAAAGAUGAAAAGAACUUUGAAAAGAGAGUUAAAUAGUACGUGAAAUUGUUGAAAGGGAAACGAUUGAAGCCAGUCGUACCUGCGGGUAAUCAGCCUUUUGGGCAUGAUUCUGUGGAGCGUGAGGAGUUAAACGCCUUCAUGCCUGCAUAUUCGUGUACUUUGGGUGUACUUGCCUGUGUGGUUAGUUAACAUCAAUUUUGGUUAUCAUAAAAUGGCUGGAGGAAUGUAGCUUCGAUUUCGAUUGAAGUGUUAUAGCCUUCGGCAGAUGUGAUGAUCGGGAUUGAGGAUUGCAACGGAUACCCUUCGGGGCUACCUGUCUGAUCUCUGAUCGUUGCUCUGGUGCCGAAAGCGUGCUUACGGUUAUCAAAGUCGAUGGUUAAUAGGUUAGAACGGGUUAAAUUCGUUAAGGAUGUUGACGUA
rnacentral:rRNA from 1 species